GAGCUCCAGCACAGCUGCUGAGGUCAGGGGGGGUGGGGGCCACAGGUGGCUCUGAUUGGGAUGGUUAAGGCCAGUUUGGGCCUUCAGUCCUAGGCUUUAAAAGUGCUUAAAGCAGCAGUUGUGGGUUCUUUGGAAGGUUUUAGGUUUGCAUGCAGCAUGUUGGCUUGUUUCCUGGCUCCUAGCAGCGCUCCCCAGUGAUAUGGUAGCAAAUACAUGACAAAUGAGUAAUAAACCUUUACAUAAGGUGUUCUGGUCCCAUCUCCAUCAGCAGGGCUCACACUGAAGUACAAAAUGGAACAAGAGGAGAGAAAGGUAUUGAGUCAGCUUUACCAUCGCAACGAUGGCAACACCGCCGAUCAUCAUGCAUGUGGGCCAGAAGAGCGAGUGGAACAGCACGUUGGAGCUGUACAGUUUGG